rnacentral:tRNA from 1 species
AGCCGGUUAGCUCAGCGGAAUAAGAGCGGCGGUCUUCUAAACCGCAGGUCGUCGGUUCAAAUCCGACACCGGCUA